ensembl:lncRNA
UGAUGUGGUGAGUUCUAGGCCAUCCAAGGCUACAUAUCAGCACUGUCAAGACAGCCAGCCAGCCAGCCAGCCAGCCAGCCAGCCAGCCAGCCAGCCAGCCAAGAAAUUCCAAACAAAACAGCCCCAAGCAAAAACCAAAACAAAACUAUAAGCAUUUGGAAUUUGGUAUUUAAGAUGCUCCAGCCAUGCUCCUGAUGGGAGAAGGAUAAUUACGGUCUUGAAAGGUAGGGGAUUUUAAGGAUGCAGUUACAGUGGAGAAUCAAUGGACGCCUUCUGCAAGGUGAUGAAUGCCAGGCAGAAAAUAGCAGCGAAAGGCUGUAGAUCCACACUGAUGGAUGAGAGCCUGCCCAGCCUGUGAGUUGACCUCAGUCAGGAUUCGUAUUCGUAUUUAUGGAGAACUGAGUUCACUUCAGCAGCAGCACAGGGACACAUGUCAGUGUCUGGGCCAUGCAGAGGCCUCCACAGAGCUCUGAUCUCACAUGGUGUUUAGAAGAGUAAACAGUCGGUGAGACUCAGAGAGUGUACACUGG